UGGGGAAUUUUGGACAAUGGGGGGAAACCCUGAUCCAGCCAUCCCGCGUGUGCGAUGAAGGCCUUCGGGUUGUAAAGCACUUUUGGCAGGAAAGAAACGUCGCGGGUUAAUACCCCGCGAAACUGACGGUACCUGCAGAAUAAGCACCGGCUAACUACGUGCCAGCAGCCGCGGUAAUACGUAGGGUGCAAGCGUUAAUCGGAAUUACUGGGCGUAAAGCGUGCGCAGGCGGUUCGGAAAGAAAGAUGUGAAAUCCCAGAGCUUAACUUUGGAACUGCAUUUUUUAACUACCGGGCUAGAGUGUGUCAGAGGGGAGGUGGAAUUCCGCGUGUAGCAUGAAAUGCGUAGAUAUGCGGAGGAACACCGAUGGCGAAGGCAGCCUCCUGGGAUAACACUGACGCUCAUGCACGAAAGCGUGGGGAGCAACAGGAUUAGAUACCCUGGUAGUCCACGCCCUAAACGAUGUC
rnacentral:rRNA from 1 species